rnacentral:lncRNA from 7 species
AUAUGCUUUAGAUAGCCAGGGGCAUGAAAAUCUUUGAAAUACGAUGGAUGUUUGAUGCAAAAUUUGAGGAGAGCUUCUGGUCUGUUCCUGGUACAUGGCCUCAGAUGCAGGAUCCUGCAUUGCUCCCUGUCUUUGAGAGGUUCAAACAAUAAGAGGUAUGAUUUCAGGACAUCCCUUUCCCAAAGAAGGCAACCAAGUAUCGGCAGUGAGAAUUGCCUCUGAAUUUACUUUGGUGAAUUCCAUCAAUAAAAAGUGGUGUGAGGACUGUCUGUAACAAGUUUCUCAACGCUUGUGAUGAUCAUGCCCAAAUACAGAGUAACCAAAUGACUUUCCUGUUUUGUACAUACAUCAUUACCAGUGCCUAACAGUAGAUGAGUUUCAAUAUCCUUGUAUUUGCCUAUGAAAUAUUAAUGUUGUCCAGCAGAGCCAGUGGUUAAAAGCAGAACUUUGAGCUGAAUGACAUUUCAUGUUCAUAAAAAGGAGGACCAUCCUCUUAAAUUUACAAUCUGUAAGCAUUCCACAUCCUCUGAGACAUGAAUAGUUUCUCUUAGGUAGUCCCAAAAGACAUUUUUUAUUUGUAAUAUUUCCUACCGUGCUAGAGUUCAGGAAUAUGCUUUGAAUAUAUUCUGCUCCAUCCGGCACUUCCCCAGAAUCCUGAUGGAAACUAGAUUAUCACACAUAAGCACAAGUUCCUGGUAAUUCACAGAUAGAGGAAGCCAGGUGGGAUUUUGCAACAAUCAUGGUUAAACAUUAGAGUCAACCCAUGGAACUUUUAUACUGUAUACUUAUGGGACCCCAAAUUGCUUAUCAGAAAACAAGGCGAUAACGCUUACAAAGUUGAUCUAAAAUUUUCUUCUUGUUUGUCUAUGCAAUUUCUCUGUUACAUAAUUGUAUUGUGAAGUAGAAGGACUUAUGAUGCAUUCAUGGUUCUUUAGCCAGGUUGAUUUCCGUAAUAUCUAGAAAGGAAGAGUGUAUCUCCUCAAAACUGCCACCGAAACUGCAGUUAGUGUGUUGUGAUGAGUCACACAUAUGACAAGACUAGUGUGUCUUGGUUACUGGGAUUAAAUGUUCUCUAUAUACCUCAAGAUUAGAAUGUGAACAGAAGAUUUAUCCAGAAAGCAGAACUGUGGUUUGAAACCAAACAUCCUUUACAUUCUAUUGAUCAGUAUUAUUAUUAUUGUCAUAGUACAUAUUUUAUGUUUACAUUAUACAAUAUAUGUUAUUUCAUUAUAAUAAGAAUUAGUGAGAAUUGAUAAUAUAUUUUUAUGUAUCAUUUAAUCAUAGUAUCAAUAAUUAAUUAUCAAUCUCUAUUAAUAAACUUUUUGGUCUU